rnacentral:lncRNA from 1 species
UCUUCCUAAUAAUAGAAAUUUUUUUGUUAUGUAAUUGUUCAAUCGAUCUUUCUCUUGAGAAAUAUUUUCACAUGAAAAUAUUGAUGAGCAAGCACUAGACUAUUUAAAUAUUAAAACAAGUUGAAAUAUAUAAAAAUAGAAUUAAUUUUUUCAUAUAUAUCUUUCUAAAUAUAUUAAAUUAUAUGAGUAUCCUCAUGAAGUUGCUAUUUGCAUAUAUGCCUUUAUAAAUAUUUUUUUUGUAUAUUACUCAUUAAGGAUAUUUUAGUGAUUUUAUUUUUAAAUUAUUAAUUUUUUAAUGGUAUUAACAGUAUAGGAGGGGCUUUAAUUUCCUUCCUUUUUUACUCUCUUUAGGUCCUAUGAGUUUUAGAGACCUAACACUAUAAGAAAUCUGACUAUUAGUGAUGGCUAAUUGCCAUCACUAAUAGUCAUUUUAUCAUUGCUAAUACUAUGAGUGAUGACACUCCUUCGUUAAUUGAUGGUCAGAACAAUCCUAGUCGUUAAUUGUCACUAUUAGCAAUAGAUUUUUUAGCCAUCGUUAAUAAUAAUUAUUAGCAAUAAUAUUUGUGAUGGCUAAAUUCCAUUAUUAUUUAUUUAUUUUAAAUUAAAUUUUAAAAAAAAUUAAAAAAAUUAGCGAUGGCUAUUUUGUCGCUAAUGCCGUCGCUAAUAAGUACUAGCGAUAGCCAAAGCC